GUAUUAGUGGUUCAAUGAUAGAAUUCUCACCUUCCAUGUGGGAGACCUGGGUUCGAUUUCCAGCCAACGCG
rnacentral:tRNA from 1 species